rnacentral:lncRNA from 11 species
UAAGAAACUAGCCUCCUUAUGGACACACUUUACACUGAGUGCUUUUUCGCACUACACUAUCAUAGCGCUAUGUUUCCCCUUUAAUUGUCAUUGCUCCAUCCUACAGGAUCCUGAGGUCUACGGUUCUCAGCCAGAGAGCAAUAGUACAUCACAAAACUACAAAGUCCAUUUCAAAAGGAUGUUUCCAUGACAUGAUCAUAACACUAUAUUUGUGUGGCAUGAGAGAGCUCUCAAUAUUGUGUGCAUGUUAUGCUUUGCUGAGAUCAGUGAUGCAAUGGAAAAAGACAGGAGAUCAUAGUUCCAAGGCUUCUUUUCUAGAAGCAAUUUCUGCUCCAACACCAAGGCAAUAAAACAGUGUACCUGGUUCUCCCACUCAUCCCAUAGCAACCCUGAGGUACAUCAGGCCGAUACAGCAAUGCGCUGAAAAAUCACCUAAUGAGUUUCAUGUAGACCAUUGAAGACCUGAACCUGGAUAUCCCAUGAUUCCACCCUCUGACCAUUUCACUGCAAUAAUUCACUUGGGAGACUUUUGCUAAAACCAACUGCAAAAAUGACUAAUAUAUCUUGUGAUUUCAAACAAAUUUGUCUAAUGGAAGAGCUGGGAAAAAUUCUCUGGGCUGCCAAUUCCAAAUGGCAAUUACCACUGAGUCACUAAACCUGAACUAGUGCAAGAAGUAAUAGAAAAGCACAACAGAAUGAAGGGAUAACAAAAGAUGUUUUCACUGCCGUGAGUGCAUUUAGGAUGGUUUGGCACAGAAGGUUGGUGAAUAAAAUUUAAAUCACAGUAGGCAGGAAAAUAAGAACAGCUGUGUGUAUAUAUAUGCCUUCCAGUUGCAUGUCGAUGUAUACUGACUUCAGGAAUUUCAUAGGGUUUUCUUAGGCAAGGAAAAUGUAUUUUUGCCUUUUUCUUUCUCUGAUAUAGCCU